UAUUCGGCGUAAAGAGCUCGUAGGCGGUUCGUCGCGUCUGCUGUGAAAGCCCGGGGCUCAACUCCGGGUCUGCAGUGGGUACGGGCAGACUAGAGUGCAGUAGGGGAGACUGGAAUUCCUGGUGUAGCGGUGAAUGCGCAGAUAUCAGGAGGAACACCGAUGGCGAAGGCAGGUCUCUGGGCUGUUACUGACGCUGAGGAGCGAAAGCAUGGGGAGCGAACAGGAUUAGAUACCCUGGUAGUCCAUGCCGUAAACGUUGGGCACUAGGUGUGGGGGACAUUCCACGUUUUCCGCGCCGUAGCUAACGCAUUAAGUGCCCCGCCUGGGGAGUACGGCCGCAAGGCUAAAACUCAAAGGAAUUGACGGGGGCCCGCACAAGCGGCGGAGCAUGCGGAUUAAUUCGAUGCAACGCGAAGAACCUUACCAAGGCUUGACAUUCACCGGACCGCCCCAGAGAUGGGGUUUCCCUUCGGGGCUGGUGGACAGGUGGUGCAUGGUUGUCGUCAGCUCGUGUCGUGAGAUGUUGGGUUAAGUCCCGCAACGAGCGCAACCCUCGUUCUAUGUUGCCAGCACGUGAUGGUGGGGACUCAUAGGAGACUGCCGGGGUCAACUCGGAGGAAGGUGGGGAUGACGUCAAAUCAUCAUGCCCCUUAUGUCUUGGGCUUCACGCAUGCUACAAUGGCCGGUACAAAGGGUUGCGAUACUGUGAGGUGGAGCUAAUCCCAAAAAGCCGGUCUCAGUUCGGAUUGAGGUCUGCAACUCGACCUCAUGAAGUCGGAGUCGCUA
rnacentral:rRNA from 1 species